UCCUGUGUCUAAGUCUGGUCCUGGGUACUCCGGAGCGCCACGCAUUCAGAGGCAGGAGCAGGUCAUCCACCACUCCCCCAAGAAGAGCUCCCAGCAGCCUGAGGGUCCCUACUCCAGCCAGUAACACCCUGUCCAGCACGGCCUCGAGCGGGGGCCACAGCGACACCGACAAGUGGUUCGACCUGGGGGUCCCCGGGGGACCAGGAGAGGCCCCUGACUCUGAACCCAACGGCCUGGGAGGGGGGUACCUCCAGGGGGCCUCGGCCGACAGUGGGAUAGACACCUCGUCUUACGGAGGGGGAGGGGGCCACUCACACCCCCACCACGGGAGUUCUAGUUGCCUCUUAGCUCCUGGGGGUAGAGAGGGGAGGGAUAGAGCUCCAUCCCCCAGGCAUAGCCCCACUGAGGGGGACAGGAGGGUGCUAGAGAGGUCCACGCCAGCCGCGGAGUCCCCACAACCCCCAGUGGAGAGGGGGGAGAGAGGAGAGGGGACGGCCAGGACUCCUCCUACACACCUAUUGGUUAGAGAUUGCAGCUUGUACAGUCUGAGUGAUGCUGGGUCACACUCCAGCUCCAGAGGCCAUUCUGGCCACAGUUCCCCCCGUGAAGAGUCUCUUCGCUCUGCUAUCCC